GAUGAACGCUGGCGGCGUGCCUAAUACAUGCAAGUCGAGCGAACAGACGAGGAGCUUGCUCCUCUGACGUUAGCGGCGGACGGGUGAGUAACACGUGGAUAACCUACCUAUAAGACUGGGAUAACUUCGGGAAACCGGAGCUAAUACCGGAUAAUAUAUUGAACCGCAUGGUUCAAUAGUGAAAGACGGUUUUGCUGUCGCUUAUAGAUGGAUCCGCGCCGCAUUAGCUAGUUGGUAAGGUAACGGCUUACCAAGGCAACGAUGCGUAGCCGACCUGAGAGGGUGAUCGGCCACACUGGAACUGAGACACGGUCAAGACUCCUAAGGGAGGCAGCAGUAGGGAAUCUUCCGCAAUGGGCGAAAGCCUGACGGAGCAACGCCGCGUGAGUGAUGAAGGUCUUCGGAUCGUAAAACUCUGUUAUUAGGGAAGAACAAAUGUGUAAGUAACUAUGCACGUCUUGACGGUACCUAAUCAGAAAGCCACGGCUAACUACGUG
rnacentral:rRNA from 1 species